CACAGUGUGGCCUAGUGGGUUUUGAGUAUUAGACUAGGAAUCUGGAGAUCAGAGUUCGAAUCCCUGCUCAGCCA